rnacentral:rRNA from 1 species
CCGCAUGGUUUUCCGGGAAACUGGACCUGGCGCUAUGAGAGGAGCUCGCGUUGGAUUAGCUAGUUGGUGGGGUAAUGGCUUACCAAGGCAUCGAUCCAUAGCCGGCCUGAGAGGGUGAUCGGCCACACUGGAACUGAGACACGGUCCAGACUCCUACGGGAGGCAGCAGUGGGGAAUUUUGCGCAAUGGGGGAAACCCUGACGCAGCAACGCCGCGUGGGUGAAGAAGCAUCUUGGUGUGUAAAGCCCUGUCGACAGAGACUAAAGUUCAUAUGGUAUAGAUGUGACUGUAUCUGUAGAGGAAGCCCCGGCUAACUCCGUGCCAGCAGCCGCGGUAAUACGGAGGGGGCAAGCGUUAUUCGGAAUUACUGGGCGUAAAGGGCGCGUAGGCGGUUCGAUAAGUGGGGAGUGAAAGCCCCGGGCUCAACCCGGGAACUGCGUUUGAAACUGGGUUUCUUGAAUACAGGAGAGGAAGAUAGAAUUCCAGGUGUAGCGGUGGAAUGCGUAGAUAUCUGGAGGAACACCAGUUGCGAAGGCGAUUCACUGGACUAAUAUUGACGCUGAGGCUCGAAAGCGUGGGGAGCGAACAGGAUUAGAUACCCUGGUAGUCCACGCCGUAAUCGAUGAAUACUAGGUGUCGGGACGUUACGACUUGGUGCCGUAAGCAAACGCGUUAAGUAUUCCGCCUGGGGAGUACGCUCGCAAGAGUGAAACUCAAAGGAAUUGACGGGGGCCCGCACAAGCGGUGGAGGAUGUGGUUUAAUUCGAAGCAACGCGAAGAACCUUACCAAGACUUGACAUGGUAGUGACCGUACGAGAAAUCGUAUUUUAUACUUCGGAACACACUCCACACAGGUGCUGCAUGGCUGUCGUCAGCUCGUGUCGUGAGAUGUUGGGUUAAGUCCCGCAACGAGCGCAACCCUCGUUUUCAGUUGUCAUCAGGUAUUCGGACAGCGACCCUCUAGAGAGACUGCCGCGAAUAACGCGGAGGAAGGUGGGGACGACGUCAAGUCAUCAUGGCCCUUACGUCUUGGGCUACACACGUGCUACAAUGGUCGGUACAGCGGGUAGCGAAAUCGCGAGAUGGAGCCAAUCCCUUAAAGCCGGCCUCAGUUCGGAUUGCAGUCUGCAACUCGACUGCAUGAAGGUGGAAUCGCUAGUAAUCGCGGAUCAGCACGCCGCGGUGAUACGUUCCCGGGCAUUGUACACACCGCCCGUCAAGCCAUGGAAGAAGGG